GGUGGGGGAUGUGGAAAAACCAGCCUCUCUAACCACAGUUGACAAUGGAGAGACAGGGCAAUAACUCACAAGUAAGAGAACAUCAAGACACAUGACACAGCGAGAUUAAUCAAGUCCUGAUGCAGCUAGGGCGCUGCACAAUGGAUACAGAGAUGAUGGCUCCACCUGAGGUCAAGAGGCUGGGAAGUGUGCCAGGGAGAUGGCUCAGCCGGCAGUGGCAUUUCCUGACACCUGGAGUCCAGUCCCUCGAACCCACAUGGUGGAGAGAGAAUCAACUCUUGCAAGUUGUCUUCUGACCUCCACAAGGGAGGGUAUUCGUUUGCCUGCCCUCACACACAUUCCUAUGGCUUCAGAUGCACAUGAAGCAGAAAAGAUCAGAAACUGCUCUCGUCCAUCAGGGUCAUCAGAUCGCCUGCUCCAUCUUGUCAUGGGAUGCUGACACGCUCUUCUGACAACUCUUCACAUCUCAGACUCCUAACACUUCAUUGUUUCCCAAGACGCCACACUAUUCCACUUUAUACUGAUGAUGUCAUGCUGCAGGGGGCCAGAGAACAGACAUGAACAAGCACCCUAAAUGUGACAGAGGUGCCAUGAAAAUACCAAGGCCUGACAUCUCAAUAAGGACUCUGGGAUCUGGUACUAUGAACAUGUGGGUUUUUUUUUUCCUCUGCAAAGUGCAUGACAAUGUACCUUCCAUCUCCCACCGCCAAAAAGGCACAGUGCUUUGCCAAUCUCCAGGGAUUUGAGGGUUACAUUGAUUUCAGUGUUCCAACCCACUUUCUAAGUGAUCUAAAAGCUCCAAGUUCUGGAGCCGGGGAUAUAGCUCUGGUGGUGGAAUGGUUGUCUAGCAUCCACAAAGCCACCAGCACAACAUAAACCAGGCAAAGUGGCACAUGUCUGUAAUAGCGUCACUCAUGUGGUGGCAGGAGGAUCAGAAGUUCAAGGUCACCCUUCACUAUACAGUUAAUGCAGGGCUAUCAUGGGAUACAUGGGACUCUGUAAAAAAAAAAAAAAUGCUCCCAGCGCUAUACAAAGCCCCGAGCAAGAGAAAACUAACUCUGCACCUGGUGCAUGUGAUACAAGCUCUGCCACCUGACACUAGAGACCUUGCAGGUCCCAUGAGGGGCUGGCUUUCUACAGUGAAUGCCAAGGAUGCCAAGUAGAGCUGGGAUGUGCCUCACAGUAGCACAGUAGAAGGUCCUAGGUUGUUUUCGUUUGUUUGUUUGUUUGUUUGGGUUUUUUGUUUUUGUUUUUGUUUUUGUUUUUGUUUUUGUUUAGGGACUGGAGAGAUGGUUCAGCAAUUAAGAGCAUUGGCUAUUCUGUUCUUCUAGUGGUCACGAGUUCAAGUCCCAGAACCACAUGGUGGCUCACAACCAUCUAUAAUGGAAUCCAAUGUCCUCUUCUGGUGUGCAAGUGUACAUGCAGACAAAGUACUCAUACAUAAAUAAACUUCUAAAAAAUUA